UUAUGUCUUAUUAUUUUUCCUUAUAAGUUUUUAUUAAAGAAACUGUUCCUGGCUGAGGUAGCUGUGCUGUCUUAGGGAGGCUGGUCGAGUUGGAGGGGUGGCUUACAGUCGCUGACCCAGCAUCUCAGGGACGAUGGCGGAGGGAGAUAAUUGGAGCACCAACUUGCUGGCUGCAGGGACUGCAAGUCUGGAAGAGCAGCUGCAAGGAUGCGGAGAAGUGGUACUGAUGACGGAAAGUCCUCCGAUGGGAAAGAGCCUGGUCUCCACCUGCCAUCAUGGGCGUGGUUUCUUUGGUGUUUCUGAUUAUCUACUAUCUAGAUCCAUCUGUUCUGUCUGGUGUUUCUUAUUUUGUUAUGUUUUUGUGCUUGGCCGACUACCCUGUUCCCAUUCUAGCGCCUAGAAUUUUCAGCUCCAAUAAGUGGACCACCAAACAACAGCAGAGAUUCCAUGAAAUUUGCAGCAAUCUAGUAAAAACUCGGCUCAGAGCUGUGGGCUGGUGGAAACGCCUCUUCACACUAAAGGAAGAAAAGCCUAAAAUGUACUUCAUGACCAUGAUCAUUUCUCUUGCUGCGGUUGCUUGGGUGGAACAAGUCCACAACCUGCUUCUCGCCUACCUGAUAGUGACUUUCUUACUGUUGCUUCCUGGACUUAACCAACAUGGAAUCAUUUCGAAGUACAUUGGAAUGGCCAAAAGGGAAAUCAACAAGCUUCUCAAACAAAAAGAAAAGAAAAAUGAAUAAUUCAUCUGCUUUCUUCAAUGUGAUUAAUGGAGUGUACAUUGUCCCUGGGAAUAGUUUCUACUAUACUAUGUGGAUACUAAAAUGUUACAGAAGUAGCUCUUUGCUCUCCCUCACUCUGCCCGUAGUUAAUAGAAAUUCAGACUCGCCAAGUAUGGCUUUGUGCAUAGUGUCUUCAUGUCAAGUGUAGUUGGAUAUGUUCUCAUCAGUUGGCCUUAUAUGGACAACUCAUUAGUGAGUGUGGCUCACUUUGAUUUUUCUCACCCAGCGUUAAUUGAAUUCUUAGUUUUAGGCAACUUCCUUUAAAAUAACAU